rnacentral:lncRNA from 1 species
CUGCCCAAGCUGUGCAGCCUGCGGGAGCUGGGCCGGCGGCCACACAGGCCCUUCGAGGAGCCUACAGGGAACAUGGUGCACGUGAAGCAGAAGCUCUACCACAACGGCCACCCCAGCCCCCGGCACCUGUGAGUGCCCAGGACUCGGGGCUGCUGUGCACAUGUAAAGGGACCUCGUGGACGCCCAGCUGGCAAGAUGGGACUGCGGCCUCAGGCCCAGGGUAUGCUGGGCUGUGGCCAGCUGGGCUGUGGCCAGCAGGCAAAUCCAGUGGAAGGUGCUGUCUCUUCUUUUUAUAAAGGGGGUUGGGUGGGGGCUGGGGUGGGGCUGGCCUCUGGGCUUCAGGGACAGCAGCCUGGUCUCCACAGUGAGCAGGACACAAAGGCAGGCUCUCAGAGGUGCUGGGGCCAGGGGUGGUGGGUCCAUAGUGGGGAGAGGCUUGGCCUGGUCCACACUAGCCUAAAGCCACAUCUCAGUGAAAGCACUGUUUCUUGAGCACCUGUUGUCCAUCCGUCCGUCUGGAGGGGAGGGAUGUGUCAGGGCCUGCGCCCAUCUGCACACGGGAGCAUGUGCAUGGGGCGUGUGCGACUGGAGGGUGGGACUGGAGGGGCGGGCCCCUAGCAGCAAUAAGGAUGUGGUGGCCCCAGGUGUCCCAGCCCUCACUGUGAAGCCCACCCUGCCUGGCCAGUAAAUUCUCCAGAAAGCUCC